rnacentral:rRNA from 1 species
CCUACGGGGGGCUGCAGUGGGGGAUAUUGCACAAUGGGGGAAACCCUGAUGCAGCGACGCCGCGUGGGUGAAGAAGCGCCUCGGCGCGUAAAGCCCUGUCAGCAGGGAAGAAAAUGACGGUACCUGAAGAAGAAGCCCCGGCUAACUACGUGCCAGCAGCCGCGGUAAUACGGAGGGGGCAAGCGUUAUCCGGAUUUACUGGGUGUAAAGGGGGCGCAGACGGCGAUGCAAGCGAGGAGUGAAAGCCCCGGGGCCAACCCCGGGACUGCUCUUGGAACUGCGUGGCUAGAGUGCAGGAGGGGGAGGCGGAAUGCCUGGUGUAGCGGUGAAAUGCGUAGAUAUCAGGAGGAACACCGGAGGCGAAGGCGGCCUGCUGGACUGCAACUGACGUUGAGGCCCGAAAGCGUGGGGAGCAAACAGGAUUAGAUACCCUAGUAGUC